rnacentral:ncRNA from 1 species
AUAAUAACGAUGACAAAGAAGAGUAGUAAUAAAGAUUUUAAAGAGAGAUGAUGGUGGGUGUAAAUUAUCAUAUCAAUAUUAUGAAGGGAGCUUUUGAGUUAGUGAUAAAUUUUAAAGAUGAGCUUUAGCUAAUAAGGGUGGAACCGCGGAUUAAUUUCGUCCCUUAA